rnacentral:rRNA from 1 species
GAGUUUGAUCAUGGCUCAGAUUGAACGCUGGCGGCAGGCCUAACACAUGCAAGUCGAACGGUAACAGGAAGAAGCUUGCUUCUUUGCUGACGAGUGGCGGACGGGUGAGUAAUGUCUGGGAAACUGCCUGAUGGAGGGGGAUAACUACUGGAAACGGUAGCUAAUACCGCAUAACGUCGCAAGACCAAAGAGGGGGACCUUCGGGCCUCUUGCCAUCGGAUGUGCCCAGAUGGGAUUAGCUAGUAGGUGGGGUAACGGCUCACCUAGGCGACGAUCCCUAGCUGGUCUGAGAGGAUGACCAGCCACACUGGAACUGAGACACGGUCCAGACUCCUACGGGAGGCAGCAGUGGGGAAUAUUGCACAAUGGGCGCAAGCCUGAUGCAGCCAUGCCGCGUGUAUGAAGAAGGCCUUCGGGUUGUAAAGUACUUUCAGCGGGGAGGAAGGGAGUAAAGUUAAUACCUUUGCUCAUUGACGUUACCCGCAGAAGAAGCACCGGCUAACUCCGUGCCAGCAGCCGCGGUAAUACGGAGGGUGCAAGCGUUAAUCGGAAUUACUGGGCGUAAAGCGCACGCAGGCGGUUUGUUAAGUCAGAUGUGAAAUCCCCGGGCUCAACCUGGGAACUGCAUCUGAUACUGGCAAGCUUGAGUCUCGUAGAGGGGGGUAGAAUUCCAGGUGUAGCGGUGAAAUGCGUAGAGAUCUGGAGGAAUACCGGUGGCGAAGGCGGCCCCCUGGACGAAGACUGACGCUCAGGUGCGAAAGCGUGGGGAGCAAACAGGAUUAGAUGCCCUGGUAGUCCACGCCGUAAACGAUGUCGACUUGGAGGUUGUGCCCUUGAGGCGUGGCUUCCGGAGCUAACGCGUUAAGUCGACCGCCUGGGGAGUACGGCCGCAAGGUUAAAACUCAAAUGAAUUGACGGGGGCCCGCACAAGCGGUGGAGCAUGUGGUUUAAUUCGAUGCAACGCGAAGAACCUUACCUGGUCUUGACAUCCACGGAAGUUUUCAGAGAUGAGAAUGUGCCUUCGGGAACCGUGAGACAGGUGCUGCAUGGCUGUCGUCAGCUCGUGUUGUGAAAUGUUGGGUUAAGUCCCGCAACGAGCGCAACCCUUAUCCUUUGUUGCCAGCGGUCCGGCCGGGAACUCAAAGGAGACUGCCAGUGAUAAACUGGAGGAAGGUGGGGAUGACGUCAAGUCAUCAUGGCCCUUACGACCAGGGCUACACACGUGCUACAAUGGCGCAUACAAAGAGAAGCGACCUCGCGAGAGCAAGCGGACCUCAUAAAGUGCGUCGUAGUCCGGAUUGGAGUCUGCAACUCGACUCCAUGAAGUCGGAAUCGCUAGUAAUCGUGGAUCAGAAUGCCACGGUGAAUACGUUCCCGGGCCUUGUACACACCGCCCGUCACACCAUGGGAGUGGGUUGCAAAAGAAGUAGGUAGCUUAACCUUCGGGAGGGCGCUUACCACUUUGUGAUUCAUGACUGGGGUGAAGUCGGAACAAGGUA